rnacentral:tRNA from 323 species
CGGACUGUAGCGCAGCUUGGUAGCGCACCGUCAUGGGGUGUCGGGGGUCGGAGGUUCAAAUCCUCUCAGUCCGACCA